GGCUCGGUAGCGGAGGGUCCGCAUCUGUGCUUCAUGCGCAUGUUGAAAAUAGCUGUUAUGCAGACACUGCCUGUUCGACUCAGGCCCGAGCCA